rnacentral:rRNA from 1 species
GACAGAGGUGGCAAGCGUUGUCCGGAAUUAUUGGGCGUAAAGGGCGCGUAGGUGGGAAAGUAAGUCUGGGGUGCAAACUUGUGGCUUAACUGCAAGCUUGCCCUGGAAACUACUUUUCUUGAAUUCGGGAGAGGGAAACGGAAUUCCUGGUGUAGCGGUGAAAUGCGUAGAUAUCAGGAAGAACACCGGUGGCGAAGGCGGUUUCCUGGCCCGAUAUUGACACUGAUGCGCGAAAGUGUGGGGAGCAAACAGG